AUUGAACGCUGGCGGCAGGCCUAACACAUGCAAGUCGAACGAGUGGCGGACGGGUGAGUAAUGUCUGGGACACUGCCUGCUGGAGGGGGUUAACUACUGGAAACGGUAGCUAAUACCGCAUACCAUCGGAUGUUCCCAGAUGGGAUUAGCUAGUUGGUGGGGUAACGGUUCACCAAGGCGACGAUCCCUAGCUGGUCUGAGAGGAUGACCAGCCACACUGGAACUGAGACACGGUCCAGACUCCUACGGGAGGCAGCAGUGGGGAAGAUUGCACAAUGGGCGCAAGCCUGAUGCAGCCAUGCCGCGUGUAUGAAGAAGGCCUGCGGGUUGUAAAGUACUUUCAGCGUGGAGGCGUUACCCGCAGAAGAAGCACCGGCUAACUCCGUGCCAGCAGCCGCGGUAAUAC
rnacentral:rRNA from 1 species